ACAAGGGGCUGAGAGGAAUAGAAACGACAUAAAAAGAGAAGAGAAAGACCAUGCAAAUACCUGCUGUGUCCCUCAUUGGGACAAUAUAAUGUGCAGGAUGAAGAGACCAUGGCAAGAAUGAUGAUACUAAUCCUCAGGUAUAGAAAACACUCCUAAAAAGUGCAGACUUCAAAGUCCAAAAAUGUGGCUGUGUGGACCAUGGAUAACUUUGCAACAGAAAUCUCCUUGGACCAGUUAUUGCAGAUUGUCUACGCAGAAGUCUUGGGGCCACUGAUGAAUCUAUUCCCUGUGCCAAAGUGAAAUUCUUCUAGAGCUGAUGUGAGCUGCAGAAAUUGUCACUAAAGCAAGACCUCCUGAAACAUAAAUCCUGCAUUAGCUGCCACCAUGAAAUACUCAAAACAGCCAACUAUCAUUAUGACAGUCACACCAAAGAGUUGUUUCUUAUUUGAUUGACAGUUCCCUGCCUAAGGUAGAAAGAGAACAUCUGACAGCUAUCAAUCAAAGACUCAGAUGAGCCCAGUUCUAAUAGCUUAGCUUAUUUGAAGGAAAGAUGAACAUUAAAAGAAUGACUGCUACAAGAGUAUAUUGAAAUUCUAAAUUAUAGCUAAUUGUACUUAACUCUUAGCCAAAUAACCUCGGUGAGAGUUGAGCACCUCUGAUCUGUCUCAGGUAUUGAAUGGGAUCCUUCCUCCUCCCAGGGGUAGUUCCCCACCUCUUUGUCUACAUACCAGUGAUUUAAGGUAAUGUAGAACUUUGCCCUCUGUGUAAGAUCUAGCACUGCAUUUUCAAAAUCAGAGCAACUGUGAUUUCCCAUAUGAUGUGACCCUUAAAAGAUUGUCCCCAGUAACAUUUAUGAAAACAAACAUCUUAUGAAACUCAAAAUGCAUACAAAUUGCAUGGGAUGCCUUUGUUUCUAAAAAUAUAUAAGCUAUUAACAUUUGUUGGAGAGAAUGAGAGGCAUCUCUUAGGUGGUAGAGCUGCCCAUUGGUUGCCAUGUUUCCCUUUGUCCUGACCCCUUCAUGAAAUCUCAGUUUAAUUCAUUGGUUUACAUAACCAGACAGUGAUGCAAUUGUUUCUUCGUCUUGUCAUUGGCACCCUAUCUGUAGUGAAUUGAUAUUUCUCCUUGUCUCUCCCAGCGUUUGGCCCUCAAAUAGGAACAGGACAGGAUUAAAAAAUGUGUCUAGAAGGAAGUAUGAUUACCAUUGUUAUAGAUGGUAACACAUGCAAUUGAAGCUUAGCCAAAAAUGAGUCACCUGUAGGAGCAAUCAUGGUUGUGCAGCUAUGUUGUAUGUACUGCCAUGGCUUCUUGCUGUCCUAUUAACCUCAUUGUCCCUGUUAUGAGGGGUAAGAUAAGCAAAUGAGGGUGCACUUUAUGGAUGUGUAUUGUCUGUUGGGAGGAAAUCCCACGAUUCUCAUAUUCUAUGUAUGUAGAGAGGUGCCUCUUUGAUAAGUAGGGUCCAUCAUGUAUGUGUGGAGGUGCCCCAGAAUUGUUAAAGUAGAGAAUGUAUUUCAGUCCCUAUAAGUAACAAGUAUUGGACAGGAUCAUAAUCAUGUGCCUAUACACACACACACACACACACACACACACACAAACACAAACACACUGCUCUAAAUUCUCAUUGUUAUGAAAUAUUAUUUUAGAAAUAUGUUAUCUUCAACUAUUACUGAGAAAGUGUCAAGCCUAGAC
rnacentral:sRNA from 1 species